rnacentral:rRNA from 1 species
GACAAACAUGGCCAAAUUAAGGUUAAUACAGUAAAAAAGAGGGUUAGAGAGUACGGCAAAUAUAAAUAUUAGCUAUAAGAAAAUUUAUGUUUCUUGUAAAGGUGGAAUUUGCGUAAGAAAAGUAAUUUAUUAUUUUCUUGUAUCUUGAAUCCCUGAAAUCUCAAAUAAAAACCGGGAUUAGAUACCCCGUUAUUUGAGGCGUAAAUUUUAAUUUAUUAAAUAAUUUACUUGAGUAUUACGGGUUCUGUAAAUUUAACGUUUAUUUGAAUGUCCUAAAACUCAAAAGACUUGGCGGUGCCUUAAAUCCUUUCAGGGGAACCUGUCCUGUAAUUGAUAGUCCACGAUUUAUCUUUCCUUUUUUUGAAUAAUAUAAAAUCAGUUUGUAUACCGUCGUCGUCAGAUUACCUCUAAGAGUAAAGGAGUUAUCAAUCAGAGUAGUAUAAUGUAAUUUUAAUAAUAUAUUUAUUAAAUUUUAUUAUAGUUUCUAGACGUCAGAUCAAGGUGCAGCCUAUAAAGAGGAAGAGAUGGGUUACAAUAAUUAUUUAUUAUACGAAUCUUUUACUGUAAAGUAAAUUUAAAGGCGGACUUGAAAGUAAUUAUAAUAAGAAAUAGAGAGUCUUGGUGAAGAUGGCUCUAAGGCGUGU